GUGAAUCAUCAAAUCUUUGAACGCAAAUUGCACUCUCUGGCAUUCCGGAGAGUAUGCCUGUUUGAGGGUCAGUUUAUAUAAAAAUCGAGUGGUUUCUGUUAUGUGACCCAGCGGAAGUGGGUUAGCUUUGACCUUGUAUGAAGUUUAAGUUAGCUAAAAUUGAUACCUUGUUCAUCUCAUACUUACAUAAGAAUAUUUUUUUAUCCGUCCGGAG
rnacentral:misc_RNA from 1 species